UACGAAGGGGGCUAGCGUUGCUCGGAAUCACUGGGCGUAAAGCGCACGUAGGCGGCUUUUUAAGUCAGAGGUGAAAUCCUGGAGCUCAACUCCAGAACUGCCUUUGAUACUGAGAGGCUUGAGUCCGGGAGAGGUGAGUGGAACUGCGAGUGUAGAGGUGAAAUUCGUAGAUAUUCGCAAGAACACCAGUGGCGAAGGCGGCUCACUGGCCCGGUACUGACGCUGAGGUGCGAAAGCGUGGGGAG
rnacentral:rRNA from 1 species